CCACACUGAACACAAUCUGGAAGCAAAUACAAGGGAUGAAGUCAGCAGGACACACCAGAGGCCACCACUCCUGCCAGUCGCCCUCUACACAGGACAGACAGGCCUCAGGGCGUCGUCAUCGCCCGCCCCCACCUCAGGCUGACAGCAUCCCCUGUACCAGGCCCAGGCCGAGGGGCAGGAGCUCACACCUCCCCGCCCCUCCCUGCGGGUUGUCUGCUGCUCUCACAGGGCCCGGGGCCCAGGUGACCUGCCCUCUCUCCUCCCUGGGCUGGGUCAGAGUCAGGGGAAAGGACCUGCGUUCACUCCCAAAGCAAAGGGAUGAGUUGUUCCCUAAGCGAACAGGAUUGUGCUCUUGCCCAACACAAUAAGCCACGGAAAAGUGACAGGAGGGACAGAUGCUAGGGCAGGAGGCACAGAACACUGCAUGUCACAAACGCCAUGUCUACUUAGGACACUAGAGGAAACCAAGCGACAAACUGCUUCACCCAAAAGUCAGCUUCACACGAGACCAGCAGAGGGACGUUGGCGGGCUCCUGGUAACGAGCACGGCGGGCCCUCCCCGAAAGGUGCGCUGCACCCCUCUGGGGAGCAAACUGCGACACGCCCCUGGGAACAGAGGCCUCGCCACCUGGUGACAGGCCUGCAAGCUGCACUCAACCUGGUGGGGUCGCUGGCUUUCCCCAAAUAACCGUAAAGUCCUGUGUGUUCCAGUCAAAACUACGACGACAAGUGAACAGGCUGGCUGGAAAUCCACCUGGUGGGGAGCGUACCAGGGCGAGCUUAGGAGGUCAAGAGGAGGAGCUUGUUCUGACUGACACCAAACACCCGCACCCAGAGCAACAAGACAGCGCCGUGAACAAAGGCGGAACAGGCGCACACACGUGGUCAGGGAGGCUGGGAGCAUGGGCAGCACUCACAGCCAGUUAACGUGCUAGAAAAGAUGGCCAGGAGCAGGCGACAGACGCCGGGCUGUGAGGGCAAGAGAGCAAAGCAGAGAGGGCGGCUGGCACACAUGCACGUUGCCCGCGGGUGUGUGGGCACACAGUGCUGCUGGGAGCACGGCCCAAGGGCAGCCGUCCUUGACAUAUAAGCACCCAGGCAAGAGCAGCUUCAAAAGUCAGCUUCACUGCUCAGAAGCCAAAUGUCUGGCCUUGCAUUUUACCCAAGUGUCUGCCUGUAGGCACAGGAAGAACACACCACUUCUCUAAGGAGCCAGAGGAGCCGUGAGCAGGUGAGAGACACGGUGGGCAGUGGUUUUCUUUGCAGACUGGACCUCAGCCCUCAGGCCCCAAGGGACAGGAAGGGUUUUAGAUAACUGCCAGCAUCCUCACUGGCCACUCCUGUCGCUGCUGUGUGCCUCUCUCGGAUCCCCUCCCCUCUCCACACUGUGCCUCCAGGGCCAUGGGACUGCUCCCACCGUGGGCCGGCCGCCGAUCCUGCCCGAUGUCUUCAGCAGGGCUGGUAAGCAUGGCAUCUGUGCCCCUGUAGCUUCCCACUGGGGCCAGUUCAGAGGGUGAGCGGAUCUCAGGCCAUCUCAGGAGCGUCUCUGGCCCGAGCCUUGGGGCUCCUCUCCACAUCGCCUGCUCUCCCACCCUCCUGCCUCAUCCCCCCUCGAGACUGGGUCUGUCACACAAAGCGCAAGGGGAUUGGAGUGUGCAGAGGCGUGGGGUCUCCAGCCCAGCUGGGCCUCGCAGGGUAGCGCUAAUACAGGCUGCCCAUGUGACCCCACCUCCCGGCCAAGGCCCCGGCUCGCUGACCCCGUCUAGACCCUCCCAGCGCACCUGCACCCCCACGGAAGCUGUGUGCUGCAGCUGCUCAGGAGCCAGCAUGAGACACGUAGCCCCGGCAGGAAGUGAUGAGGCCACACUUCCUCCAGUGGACGGGCCUCACCAGAGCACACUGGCUUGCAGGUGGCCGGCAACUGUGCGGCCGUCAAAGGGCUGGGCCAGAGGUGGGCGACAGGGCAAGCAGGGGCCUCCACGCACGGGGUCGGGGACUGCGCACCAGGGACAGUGCUCUGCGUGGCCAAACGAGAGGCCCCCACAGCGGGCCGGACCUCGCUCUCUGGGAGCUGGCCGUGGCCACUGGCAUCAGGCAGGCAGCUCGACAGCAUCAAUGGCCCCCUCCAGGCGCAGCAGGAUCACUGCGGGCAAGCAGCUGUCAGGGGCCAGCCCCUGUCCAGCCACCAGCCAGAGGGGCAGCACUUACUCUUCAGCUUUGCGAUGUCUUCCAGCUCCA